rnacentral:rRNA from 1 species
GAAAGUAGGGGAUCGCAAGACCUUGCGCUAAAGGAGCGGCCGAUGUCUGAUUAGCUAGUUGGUGGGGUAAAGGCUUACCAAGGCAACGAUCAGUAGUUGGUCUGAGAGGACGGCCAACCACACUGGGACUGAGACACGGCCCAGACUCCUACGGGAGGCAGCAGUGGGGAAUUUUGGACAAUGGGCGAAAGCCUGAUCCAGCCAUGCCGCGUGAGUGAAGAAGGCCUUCGGGUUGUAAAGCUCUUUCAGUUGGGAAGAAACGAUUGCAACUAAUAAUUGUAAUUAAUGACGGUACCGACAGAAGAAGCACCGGCUAACUACGUGCCAGCAGCCGCGGUAAUACGUAGGGUGCGAGCGUUAAUCGGAAUUACUGGGCGUAAAGGGUGCGCAGGCGGUCUUGCAAGUCAGAUGUGAAAGCCCCGGGCUUAACCUGGGAAUUGCGUUUGAAACUACAAAGCUAGA